GAUGAAGAACGUAGCGAAAUGCGAUACUUGGUGUGAAUUGCAGAAUCCCGUGAACCAUCGAGUCUUUGAACGCAAGUUGCGCCCGAAGCCUCGGCUAAGGGCACGUCUGCCUGGGCGUCACGCAUCGCGUCUCCCCCAAACCGCCAAGGCGGAGGGGAAGGAAGAUGGCUUCCCGUGCCUCACCCGGCGCGGUUGGCCUAAAUUUGGAGCCCGCGGCACUUAGCUCUCGUGGCGAUAGGUGGUGAACAAGGCCUUGGCCGUGCAAACAACCCGCUGCGAAUCUCUAUUUCACGUGCGCUCGUCGGACCCUUUGAAGUUGCCUUCGGUGACUUAAAACCUUUGCGACCCCAGGUCAGGCGGGGCUACCCGCUGAAUUUAAGCAUAUCAAUAAGCGGAGGA
rnacentral:misc_RNA from 1 species